rnacentral:rRNA from 1 species
UGGGGAAUCUUGGACAAUGGGGGCAACCCUGAUCCAGCCAUGCCGCGUGAGUGAUGAAGGCCUUAGGGUCGUAAAGCUCUUUCGCCUGUGAAGAUAAUGACGGUAGCAGGUAAAGAAACCCCGGCUAACUCCGUGCCAGCAGCCGCGGUAAUACGGAGGGGACUAGCGUUGUUCGGAAUUACUGGGCGUAAAGCGCACGUAGGCGGACCAGAAAGUUGGGGGUGAAAUCCCGGGGGCUCAACCCCGGAACUGCCUCCAAAACUAUUGGUCUAGAGUUCGAGAGAGGUGAGUGGAAUUCCAAGUGUAGAGGUGAAAUUCGUAGAUAUUUGGAGGAACACCAGUGGCGAAGGCGGCUCACUGGCUCGAUACUGACGCUGAGGUGCGAAAGCGUGGGGAGCAAAGCAGGAUUAGAUAGCCCUGGUAGUCCACGCCGUAAAACGAUGAGUGCUAGUCGUCGGCAGGCAUGCCUGUCGGUGACGCAGCUAACGCAUU